UACAGAGGGUGCAAGCGUUAAUCGGAAUUACUGGGCGUAAAGCGUGCGUAGACGGUUAUGUAAGUCGGGUGUGAAAGCCCCGGGCUCAACCUGGGAAUUGCAUUCGAGACUGUGUAGCUAGGGUACGGAAGAGGGAGGCGGAAUUUCAGGUGUAGCGGUGAAAUGCGUAGAUAUCUGAAGGAACACCAGUGGCGAAAGCGGCUUCCUGGUCCAGUACCGACGUUCAGGCACGAAAGCGUGGGGAGCAAACAGG
rnacentral:rRNA from 1 species